rnacentral:rRNA from 1 species
AUUGAACGCUGGCGGCAGGCUUAACACAUGCAAGUCGAGCGGAGAUGAGGUGCUUGCACCUUAUCUUAGCGGCGGACGGGUGAGUAAUGCUUAGGAAUCUGCCUAUUAGUGGGGGACAACAUUCCGAAAGGAAUGCUAAUACCGCAUACGUCCUACGGGAGAAAGCAGGGGAUCUUCGGACCUCGCGCUAAUAGAUGAGCCUAAGUCGGAUUAGCUAGUUGGUGGGGUAAAGGCCUACCAAGGCGACGAUCUGUAGCGGGUCUGAGAGGAUGAUCCGCCACACUGGGACUGUGACACGGCCCAGACUCCUACGGGAGGCAGCAGUGGGGAAUAUUGGACAAUGGGGGGAACCCUGAUCCAGCCAUGCCGCGUGUGUGAAGAAGGCCUUAUGGUUGUAAAGCACUUUAAGCGAGGAGGAGGCUACUGAGACUAAUACUCUUGGAUAGUGGACGUUACUCGCAGAAUAAGCACCGGCUAACUCUGUGCCAGCCGCCGCCGUAAAAC